GCUUCAUGCUCGGUGCUAUCGACACAUGAAUUCUUAUCAGUAAUAAUACGUGAGUUUCCUAUCCAUCUAUUUCCUUUUUUUGUAAGUAGGAUUUUUCUAUCUAUCAAAGUUAUGUAGGCAGUACAAAACAGCUAAUUGUGAUACUAUUAAUUUAUUAUCCUGUCAUAUAUGAGAUCCAUAAUUCAAAUUAGGAAAAGAGUUUUAGGGCAGAAUUAGGAUGCAUCAUAUUUCCACCCUUUUUUUACAAGGGAUGCAACAUAUUUUCAUGCUUUUGAGCUUUGAGAGACUCUUCCAAUAAUUUGCACUGAUUGAAUUUAAAGAAAUCAGACAUCCCAAGCUAUCUAUCUCAAUCUCACGCAUAGCAUGCUGCACGAUGGAGAAACUAAUGUUAGAGCAUCCUCUUUAGUCAUACGAUAAAAAUCUGGAUUGUUGGAGUUGGUAGGUUCAAAUGCUGAACGAUUCAACCAAUAUUGCAUACUAGUAGAGUGGAAGGUCAAAGGCACCACUGAAAAAAGUCCAGAAAUACCAGGUCAAAACAAAAAAUAAAAUGUUAAUUUGAUGCCCAAAAUGGUUUCAAGCUAAUUCCGCCAAGCAUUGUAUCUUAAGCUUGGCUAAGGGUCAUACUACAAAAUAGUUUAAGAAAGUAGUUU
rnacentral:misc_RNA from 1 species